rfam:Myotis brandtii contig188112, whole genome shotgun sequence.
CUGAGUUAGCACCAAACUCAAUCUAUACUCCAAAUAACAUUUAAGAUGAUCAAAGCUGGAAUUAUUUGGCAUCAACUUAAAAAAAAAA